UUACGGUCGUUCUCUCGUGGGCCGGAGUAUAGUUCUAAAUAUACAGAAGAAACACGAUAUGCUGAAGGAGGCCUACGACGCAUCUAUUGCGCGUGACCUCGAAAAGUAUAUAGAUGACAACGACCAGAUAAGCAAGGGACAUCCGGCGUGUGCAGCGCGUGGCCGCCCACGGUAUGACCUUAUAUGGUAAAGUAGUAGGAUAAUAGGCAGGGAUACGAUCCAAGAAUCACCAUUAUAAAAUACGUCGCUCGAAUAAGCUUCGGCAGACGGACCAACAACACCGAGCUAGACGGACUAACACCACCGAGCUAGACGGACCAACACCAUCAAACGAACGUAGUCAGAUUAUUACAAUUGGCGCUGUGGACAGGGUUUUCAAAAGAAAAAAAUUUUUGGAAACGAAUAUUUUUUGAAUUAUUUCAAAAUAUUCUAACCAAAUUAAUUCGAGGAGGCAAUUCAAUCAAAUUGAAUCAUCGUUGGAAGUCUGAUCAACUAUCAACAACUCCGCAACAGAAUCCGGUGACAACAUCGUUAUAUUUAUAUUUAUUUUUUUUUUUAAAUUUACAUCAAUUCGUAAUGAAGGUGAUAUAUAUAUUUAUGGUUUUAUUUUCCAUUUUAUCAACCAUGACAACUCCAUCAGUUAUGGCAAUUAGUAUCAAUCCGUUUAAAGGACUAGGAGAGACAAUAAAAGAUAUCGCACAGAUCGAUAUGGGAUGCGGUGAUCAGUGUUGGAACGAUCGCGAGAAAGCAGUUGAUAAAUGCGGGUAUGGUAUUUAUCAAAUAAAGAAAAUGUACGUGUGUUACUGCUGCAAGAGUGGCAACACUCGUUAAAAAAAAAAAAACCCCCGUUUUCUUGGUAUCUUUCUGGUUUUGUAAAGGCAUGAUACCAUUGACGAUACCGUUUUGGACAUUAGUGUAUCGUUCUUGUCUGACAUGUUUGUCAGAUUACUGUUUUGAUAUUAAUUUUAAAUAUUAUCGAAAGUGGUUUUGAUACCACUAACGAUACUGUUUUGAUUUAUAUAUCGUUAUAUUAUAUCUUUUAUCAAGGUUAUGAGUUGCACAUUAUGUUUUACUCAACCUUAUGUUGGUUUGACGCAACAUUUAACUAUAUUUACUUGCUUUAUUUUGCAUAUUCACUUACAUUUUUUAUACCGUUUGUUUAACGGUUGUUCAACUUUAAUAUAACAAUAGUCAAAAAAAAAAAAA